rnacentral:rRNA from 1 species
AUUGAACGCUGGCGGCAGGCCUAACACAUGCAAGUCGAACGGUAGCACAGAGAGCUUGCUCUCGGGUGACGAGUGGCGGACGGGUGAGUAAUGCCUGGGAAACUGCCCGAUGGAGGGGGAUAACUACUGGAAACGGUAGCUAAUACCGCAUAACGUCUUCGGACCAAAGUGGGGGACCUUCGGGCCUCACACCAUCGGAUGUGCCCAGGUGGGAUUAGCUAGUAGGUGGGGUAGUGGCUCACCUAGGCGACGAUCCCUAGCUGGUCUGAGAGGAUGACCAGCCACGCUGGAACUGAGACACGGUCCAGACUCCUACGGGAGGCAGCAGUGGGGAAUAUUGCACAAUGGGCGCAAGCCUGAUGCAGCCAUGCAGCGUGUAUGAAGAAGGCCUUCGGGUUGUAAAGUACUUUCAGCGGGGAGGAAGGCGGUGGAGUUAAUAACUUCACUGAUUGACGUUACCCGCAGAAGAAGCACCGGCUAACUCCGUGCCAGCAGCCGCGGUAAGAC